rnacentral:misc_RNA from 1 species
AGCAUUUCCAGAACUCUCGUCAGCGAGGUAGGACUGAACACGCGCGGUUCUUCGUCUACGUCGCGAAUUGCGACUCGCUAAUCGGAGUCGGCUACAUACGUGUUACGCGAUUAUCAGCAUCAACGACAUGAGCUUGAAUGCGGACGACAGCGUGUUACAUGGAGGAGACAAUACAUGAGAGGACUGACAGAAGAACUGAGAACCGGAGUGUCGUGACAGUGAACCGAGAACCCAGAUUGCAAAUCAUGUGCAUGGCAAAUUGAGCAGUGCAGUGAACCCCGACAUUGUCGCGUCUCUCUUGUGAUUGUUGUUAAGCACGACGCUUCGUGAGACGAAAGUCUCAACCACGGCAGCAAAAUUGAGCUGGAGCUGCACCAACGAGCCGCCGGCCACUUUAUGAGAGCCGGCGGCAACAUGUGCGACGGCUCCUUCACGGAAACCUUGCGCACUAUGCAGGGUAUGACGGGAACGUCGCCAACGGCAGGCGCCGGUGUCGGUCCUAUGGGGGUUGGACUCGGUAGCCCACUCGGCCCAGCAGGCAAGAAAGUACAAGCGGAACACAUCAAACGACCGAUGAAUGCCUUCAUGGUCUGGUCACGGUUGCAGCGGCGGAAGAUAGCACAAGAAAAUCCCAAGAUGCACAAUAGCGAGAUCUCCAAGAGACUCGGUGCGGAAUGGAAACUUCUCUCGGAGGAGCAGAAACGUCCCUUCAUCGACCAAGCGAAGAGGUUACGUGCUCAGCACAUGAAGGAACACCCGGAUUACAAAUACAGACCAAGAAGAAAACCCAAGACCUUGCGCAAGGAAGGCUACCCGUACAGUAUUCCAUACCCCAGCGUGCCCAUGGACGCCCUCCGAGCAGGGAUGGCCGGUAGCAUGGGACAGGCAGGGAUGGGCUCCUAUUACAGCCCUGCGGCAGCUUACGGCCCCCUCUCGGCGGCCAGCAUGGCUGCGGCUGCGGCAGCGGCUGCACAACAAUCGGCUGCCGCCAUGUCCGCCGGUCUCGGGGCACCUGCUCAAGUGGUGAGCUCAAUGGACGCCAUGAAAUAUUCGAUGGAGGCUGACAAGUAUCGCUACAUGCCGCCCAGCAGUCUUGCGAUGAGCAUGUACCCGGAUCCCAAGUACCUGGACUCAAGUCCCAAGACCUAUCUGGACCGAAGCUACUUGGACUCGGCGAAGGCGUACUUCGAGCAGUCGAAGCUCUACAUGGAUCAGAAACCGCCCCUCGUCGACUACAACCGACCCAGCUACGAGCCCAACAAGCUCUACGAGGAGUCCAGCCCGGGUAGCGUCGUCGGCGGAAGUGGACCCACAAGGUCACCGGCCGCCGAGUCGCCGGACACGAGCAAGCAGCACGAAAGAGCGGAGCAAGCCUCCUCUAGCGCGAGCUCGACGUCCACGUCAUCGGCCGCGAGUCCUGGAGCAACUCUACCAGCGUACUAUCCCGGACCGGUCCAGGCUGGCGGAUUGUUGGGCCCGCAAAUGGGCCAGUACGGUGGAUAUCAAACGGCACCGGCCCCGGGAAACGAGUCUUUCCGCCGACCAUUGACAGUCAUCUUCUGACCCGAUAGAACAUAGCUCUGAUCCAUCUUCGAGGAACAGUUGCUGUGAACCCGGUCGAGAGUCGUGAGGCGAUCACUACCGUGGAUUCGGCAGAACGACACGACGACGACGCUCUGGCAGAGGACCUGCCCGAGAGAGAAUCUUAGCAGUCAGAGUUCCGGCUGUCAGAAGAUAUCAUCUUUUGUCCGAACGCGGUAAUGGCGCAUCUGAAGAAGAAAGGAGAUGCCGCGGAUCUCAAUGGACUGUCAUGGCUACGGCGGAUAACACGAAAUGAAAGUGGAACGUUGUGUGUGAUAGUGUUUUAGGAAAACGUUCUCUUUAUUUUACUAGAUGGAUACCCUGGAUUCUGCCAAAUUAUCCGACGACGACUAAUAGGUAGUCACCUUCUCAUCGUAUAACGACUACCACUAACUGACGUGCGCCAAUGAUGAAAUCUUUCCGGAGUGUAUCUUUUGUUCGAUGAAAGCGCCAAUUAUAUUUAAGAAAUUAUAAUAUAUGAGCGGGUCAAGCGCAAUAAAUGAAGAUUUCGCGAGAUAACUGACUGAGAGACUUCAAGAAGAUGCUGUGAAGAAGGCAUUAAAAAAAAAAAACGCGCAAUUAAAAAAUACACAUAUGCAAUUUUAGUUGAAGAAGAAAUUAUUUUCGACGUUAUUAUUUUAACAGUUUAUCGUGUGAAAGAAUCGUUGAUCGAUCUGGAAGAAUUUCAUCAGAGGACUAGAGAAAGAAUCAAAUAUUUUCCUGGUGACGGAUAUGAUCAAUAAUGUCGCUGCGCGAGAGCAGGAAGAGCAACCAGACCAACGGACUGUUCCGAAAGGUAAAGCACGACCAACGAUGAUCGUAACAUUGUUGUAGAUCGCAACGAAGACCGAGAGAACUUCCGCUAUGUCGUCGGCUGACUAGUCUUGACCGAGACGUGUUAAGAAUGCAUUGUACAUAGUCCCUGUGUAAAUAGUGUAGCAAAAACUUUGGCUGUUCCGGGUUUCCGCGCGCGAAUCCGCUUUCUUACGUUCUCCAUCCCCACACAAGGGCCGCACGUGUGUGUGUGUGUGCGUGUGUGUGGUCCUUGAAGAGAAAGCAGUACAAAUGGAAUCGUGUGCGUGCGUGGUAUCGGAAACCUAUCGCGAACACUCGAUCAUUAUGAUGGCAUAAUGAUUUAUCUUUUUCUCGUUUGUCUUCAACCCUCAAUUGGUUAAAGAUAUAUAUUUAAUCAUAAGACCGCUAAUAAAAACGUUGAUUGGACCACAUUUGUGUAGGUUAGCACAAAUUUUAGAAAUUAGUUUCGUUAAGUGACUAUAAUUUCGGAUUGAUCAUUAAACGCAUCUGGUGAUGAGUCGGCAAGAAAGAAGGUGAUAAGUCGAGAAGGAAAAAAGUGACCUAUUGUAUUGUGGCAUACUAAGUCAUUUAUGUGUAUUUGCAUAGUGUCUACUUAUAAUUUAAGAAUUAUAAACUGUAUAUAUUGGUAAAUUUCAAAUUUGUUUAUUUACUUUGGUCACAUUACUUUGGUCAACUCGAGUAUCACCAGGUGUGUUUACGAUUCCAGUCAAUGAGAAAAAAUUAUGUGGGUUGGGAAAU